CAAGUACUCCCUCCGUCCGAAAAUACUUGUCAUCAAAAUGGAUAAAAAAAUAUGUACCUAGAACUAAUAUACAUUUAGAUACAUCCCCUUUUAUUCACUUUGAUGACAAGUAUUUCCAGACGGAGGGAGUACGAC
rfam:Triticum urartu cultivar G1812 contig1235378, whole genome shotgun sequence.